UUUAUACUCCCUCCGUUCGGAAUUACUUGUCUCGGAAAUGGAUGUAUCUAGAACUAAAAUACAUCUAGAUACAUCCAUUUCUACGACAAGUAAUUCCGAACGGAGGGAGUAUUAA
rnacentral:pre_miRNA from 1 species